AUUGAACGCUGGCGGCAUGCUUUACACAUGCAAGUCGAACGGCAGCGCGGGCUUCGGCCUGGCGGCAAGUGGCGAACGGGUGAGUAAUACAUCGGAACGUGCCCAGUAGUGGGGGAUAGCUCGGCGAAAGCCGGAUUAAUACCGCAUACGACCUGAGGGUGAAAGCGGGGGAUCUUCGGACCUCGCGCUAUUGGAGCGGCCGAUGGCAGAUUAGCUAGUUGGUGGGGUAAAGGCCUACCAAGGCGACGAUCUGUAGCUGGUCUGAGAGGACGACCAGCCACACUGGGACUGAGACACGGCCCAGACUCCUACGGGAGGCAGCAGUGGGGAAUUUUGGACAAUGGGCGAAAGCCUGAUCCAGCAAUGCCGCGUGUGUGAUGAAGGCCUUCGGGUUGUAAAGCACUUUUGGCGGGAACGAAAAGGACUGUGCCAAUACCACGGUUCGAUGACGGUACCCGCAGAAUAAGCACCGGCUAACUACGUG
rnacentral:rRNA from 1 species